CCUACGGGGUGCUGCAGUGGGGAAUAUUGCACAAUGGGCGCAAGCCUGAUGCAGCCAUGCCGCGUGUGUGAAGAAGGCCUUCGGGUUGUAAAGCACUUUCAGCGGGGAGGAAGGCGGUGAGGUUAAUAACCUCAUCGAUUGACGUUACCCGCAGAAGAAGCACCGGCUAACUCCGUGCCAGCAGCCGCGGUAAUACGGAGGGUGCAAGCGUUAAUCGGAAUUACUGGGCGUAAAGCGCACGCAGGCGGUCUGUCAAGUCGGAUGUGAAAUCCCCGGGCUCAACCUGGGAACUGCAUUCGAAACUGGCAGGCUAGAGUCUUGUAGAGGGGGGUAGAAUUCCAGGUGUAGCGGUGAAAUGCGUAGAGAUCUGGAGGAAUACCGGUGGCGAAGGCGGCCCCCUGGACAAAGACUGACGCUCAGGUGCGAAAGCGCGGGGAGCAAACAGGAUUAGAUACCCUGGUAGUC
rnacentral:rRNA from 1 species